AAACAUCUCUAUUUUACAAGUUAGAGACGAAUCAACAGGGCUACAGGACACAGCAAGCCAGGUGGCACAUCAUGUGGCGCAAGGUCGGUCGUGUCUUGUAUUCUUGUUGCUCUUCAUCUACCUUUCCUUUUCGUCUUUUUUCUUUCACGCCCGGUGAUGAGAAUUGCCAACACAAUAGAGUCAAGCUCGGAGACCCUAGUCGCCUCUUCGGAUGGUGCUGGUCUAUGUCGAGCACUGGCCUGUUUGACAGUUACUGAGGGUUCAUCUUUUUCGUGUCUUUCAUCAUGUCGCUCCUUAUCUUGGAUCCAUCAAACAACCUGUCAACAUUUUGGUUCCAAGGUCUCAUUUAUUAUGAAAAUAUAUGCAUGUAUUGCAGAUCAACUGAACAUGUUUCUGCCAAUCAAUCCCAAAUAG
rnacentral:sRNA from 1 species